AUGUCAAACUCUCGAUCUAUUCGCCCCACUGUGCAAUGCUAGACUCUUAAGUACAACAUGAAUGCCAGGGCUGGUAGAUGAUUUACGCUUGAGGAGUCCAAGGUUCGUGAAGUUGACAAUCUGGUUUUGUGAAGGAAGGGGCCAGCCAUGGAGAAGAUCCUGCUGGUCGUCCCUGGCAAUCCAGGUAUUGUUGGAUUCUACAAGGACUUUGUGGAAGCCCUCUGUGAGCUAGUUCAUGGAGACUCGACAGUCCGAGCGAUCUCUGUAGCGUGAAUGGAGUGAUAGUCCAGAUAACUGCUCUGUUUAUGCAUUUCAGCUGAAGACGUGGCAGAUGAUAUGGACUACACAGUCCACACUAUAUGCUGCUACUAAAUUAAGAUGCACAAAGUUCACACUAUAUGCUUUUCAUGUCCCCUGGCAGUGGCCUCUAUAUGUCACAAAGUUCACAGUAGGGGAUGUGUAGGGAUUCAUGUGGUUGAUGGGUUGUAGCGUGUUUUGCCUAGGGAUUCAUGUGGUUGAUCGGUUGUAGCGUGUACUGCUAUUGGGUUCCAUGCCUAUCCUCAGAUAGAUUAACUCUCGACUCAUGUAGCGUUGCAUUGAUUCAUGAUCUAGAGGCUGUUACUGAUGUGGCGUUGGGAGAUUUAGCAGCCUGAUUUGAUGAGACUGGUAUAUCUUAUUGUAGAUUGUAAAUUAGUUUCGUAUGUUGUCCAUAUGUGUUCCAAAGUAUUUUCCGAGGAGAAUUUGUUUUGAGAUAUCCAUAUCAUGUUGUGCUUGCUGUUUAGUUUUGUUUGUCCCAAAAGGCCUAUGCUAUUUAGCUUUUUUGUUGAAUUAAUCAUAAAUGGUAGAUUUUUUGUUAUUCGAAGCUGCUGAACAAUGUAGUUAGGUUUGUUUUAUUGCUGCAUUAGAAUUACAGCAAUCGUCCUAGUCUUGUUUUGUUG